CGCGUAGGCGGGGAGGUAAGUCGGGUGUGAAAUCCCUCGGCCCAACCGAGGGACUGCGCCCGAGACUGCUUCUCUUGAGUCCCGGAGAGGAAGAUGGAAUUCCCGGUGUAGCGGUGAAAUGUGUAGAGAUCGGGAGGAACGACCGGUGGCGAAGGCGGUCUUCUGGACGGUGACUGACGCUGAGGCGCGAAAGCGUGGGGAGCAAACG
rnacentral:rRNA from 1 species